CCUACGGGAGGCCGCAGUGAGGAAUAUUGGUCAAUGGACGAGAGUCUGAACCAGCCAAGUAGCGUGAAGGAUGACUGCCCUAUGGGUUGUAAACUUCUUUUAUAUGGGAAUAAAAUGUUCCACGUGUGGGAUUUUGUAUGUACCAUAUGAAUAAGGAUCGGCUAACUCCGUGCCAGCAGCCGCGGUAAUACGGAGGAUCCGAGCGUUAUCCGGAUUUAUUGGGUUUAAAGGGAGCGUAGGUGGAUUGUUAAGUCAGUUGUGAAAGUUUGCGGCUCAACCGUAAAAUUGCAGUUGAAACUGGCAGUCUUGGGUACAGUAGAGGUGGGCGGAAUUCGUGGUGUAGCGGUGAAAUGCUUAGAUAUCACGAAGAACUCCGAUUGCGAAGGCAGUUCACUGGACUGCAACUGACACUGAGGCUCGAAAGUGUGGGUAUCAAACAGGAUUAGAUACCCCUGUAGUC
rnacentral:rRNA from 1 species